CACACACACACACACACACACACACACACACACACACACACACACACACACUCACACAGAUGAAUGAGCACACACACAAGCUAAACAAACCACGGCGUCAACUGUCUUGAUCUCGUUAGUAUGAUGUGUUUACGAUGACGCACAGGAUAUUUUUUCUCUGGCCUCUCUUUUUUUAUCUUACUUUUCAGUCUUGCAUCGUUGGUUCCGGACAACCAAGGUCCUCUUCUGGACUCCUCUCAGCUCGCUGUUCUCCACGACGCUAGAAGGAGACACGGAGAUGUGUGACGUCACCAUCCCAUUAUUAUUCAUACUGGCUGCACCACAGGUGGAUAAUUAACCAAUGAACGCCAAACAUGCUCUACAGUCUCCGCCUGAAAGUGGGCCUAAUGAGAUUUGUCACCAUGACAACAGGCUCAAACUACCACUCCUUACCCCCAUCCCUUAAUGAGGCUUGGAGUGUGGUCAGAGUGUUUGGAUUGGAAGAGAAUCACUGGCUGCUGGGGCGAUGCCAGACCCCAGCACACUAUGGAACAUCACGCCCACACACCGGGACACUCUGAGUCAGCCUGGACCCCCUGCCAGACACCGAGGGGGCUCACGGCCAUCCGUCCCACACAAACACACACACACACACACACACACACACACACACACACACACACACACACACACACACACACACACACCGAGAGCCCCCGGCCAAGAGUGGGACCACAGUGGAGACCCUUCUUGGUGAUGAAUCUCUUCUGGCCGAAUGACAACACGGAGCCACGACUAAUGCUGUGUUUGUUUGGCAGUCACUAGUGUGGCGAGGGCUUUGUCUAUUUAAGAACUGGUGCAUUUGAUAUCUUUUGAUGCUUCCAAGCUAGUUUCACAGUUAAAGUUGUUUGGAUGCGUCCUCCGCACUUAUUUGGUUCCGAUGACUGUUAAAAGUGUGUGUAACGGUGAAUGUUGGCACUAUCGGGGAUGUUAGUAGUUCAUAUAGUGACAGUAGCACUGUAACAGAGCGGGGGCUCCGCGAGACACCCGGGCCCACCUCUUC
ensembl:lncRNA